rnacentral:misc_RNA from 1 species
UGGCUCUCGCAUCGAUGAAGAACGCAGCGAAAUGCGAUAAGUAAUGUGAAUUGCAGAAUUCAGUGAAUCAUCGAAUCUUUGAACGCACCUUGCGCCCUUUGGUAUUCCGAAGGGCAUGCCUGUUUGAGUGUCAUUAAAUUAUCAACUCUGAGAGCUUUGCUGCUCUCUGAGCUUGGACUUGGAGUGUGCUGGACUUUGUUGUUCAGCUCCUCUCGAAAUGCAUAUGCAGAACUUUUGAUUGCUGAACUGCUCCGGCGUGAUAAUUAUCUACGUCGCGGCGGCAAAGCAGCCAGAUCUGCCUACAACUGUUGCCAACCUGCAACAGGGGGUCACCCCUCAAAAAAUCUUGACAAUUUGACCUCAAAUCAGGUAGGACUACCCGCUGA